UCUGGGUCUCCCAAGUGAACGAUCUCCGGA
rnacentral:piRNA from 1 species